AAUGAUCUUCCUGUAUCCAUGUUGCAUUCACCUGUUAACUCUAUGUAUGGCUGCUUGUAUCUAAGCCUGGUAGUUGGUACCAAUGCCAAGGGGAACAACAAAUACAUACACCAACUUUCCUUGGUGAUCUCUUAAAAUUCCUCCUCCACCUAUCUUGUCUGGAUUAUUGAGAGCACUCCUAUCUGUAUUUAGCUUGUACACACCAUUGCAAGGUCUUUCCCAAAGAACUGGUAUAACCUUAAUUUCAUGACUACAAUUUUCCACCAUAAAGAUAAGAUCAUUCUAGUUGUGUGACCACUGGAUAUAGGGGAAAACAGUGUUGAAAAUUUGAAGGAUAUUUUUU
rnacentral:lncRNA from 1 species